AGCACUCGUAACAACUUUGAUGUCAGUUGUCAUUUUUUCUUGGAUCUUGUGUUGUCAGCUUACCACAAACCGACCACCUCAAACUUUCUUCACAAUUCAAAACAAAAAUAUGUUAGAAUGGACUCAGUCGGUCCUUAUUAUUAUCAUUCUUUCUCUGUUUUUUUACCUUCUUUUCUUCUUCUUUUUUUCAAAAUCAUUUGAUCGAACCUGAUGUGGGUUGCCUACGUAUCAUGUGGAAAAAUGAAUCAGAUCUUGCGUAGUUUGGGAAGAUUAGGAAUAAAGGAAAUAAACUAAAUCUUUUUCUUUUUGAAUUUUAAAUUUUGUUUUGUUUUUUUUAAUUUUCGAAAGAAAGACUUAUAAAGAAGAAAGAAAAUAUUUUUUUAUUUCGAUUUUGCUUUUUUUUUUGGAAUUUCAAAAGAAAAAAUUAUAAAGAACAAAGAAAAUAUCUUUGGAUUUUUGGACUUUUAUGUUAAAAUUAUGAAAGAAAGGACUUCUAAAGCAAAUAUUUUUGAAUCUUGAAUGUUCUUUUUAAUUUUUGAAAGAAAAACUUCUAAAGAAGAAUGAAAAUAUUUUUUUUUGGAUUUUUAGAAGAAACUAAAAGAAAAUAUUUUUGAAUUUUUUAAAAAUUUGGGUCUCAAAGAAACACUUUUCUAAAGAAGGAAGCAAAGAAAAAUAUUUUUGAAUUUUUGAAAAUUGGAGUCGGAAUCGAUGAGGUUUGCCUACGUUUCUCACAUCCGGUGAGAAUUAGACCCCCGUAGUUUUGUCAGUUUUGACGGAACAAGGGAAACAUGACUUUUGAAAACAAUAACUUAUUUUCUUUCUUUCUUUUUGAAAAUAUCGGGAGAGUUUCGGAUUACCUACCUCUCACUCUUGAUUUUUUUUCUAUUUUCUUUUUUUUUUCCUUUUUUUCAAUUUUUUCCCCUAUUCUAACACUCAGUCAACAUGCAAGCCGAAACAAACAGAUACACAAGUAGCACGUAAGAUGUAUCAGGAUGAUUUUUUAAUUUGGGUACACCUGUCCUAGACGGACUCAACUCCUAUGUUGAGUCCCCAAGGUCAAAUGCAUGUGAAGCAAACAAGCGUACCUACUAGGGAUCCGGCAUGAGGUUGUGUUAUUCUAGGUUUAAAAACCUGGGUGUAUUGUGCACUUCCCAGAAGAUUUAGAAGACUCAGAGAGAAGAAGGGUUUCAUAACAGUUUAUAUACAGUUCAAACAAUAUCAAAGCGGUAAAAAGCGGCAUUUAGCACAUUAGGCUCAAAAACAUAAAAAAUCAUAUAAUAAACAAAAGUCAACUAUAACAAUUAUUCUAAGCUUGAAUUCUGAACCCUGAACCAGAGAUUCUAAGUUUUUUUCCCCAGUAGAGUCAUUAGAACUGUCACACCUCCUUUUUCCCGCAGGAGGAUAUGGAGUUUUUCCAAUUAAAGUGACAUUUAUCGAAAUGGGACUAUUUAUUUAUUCAAAGUCGCCACUUGAAAUAUUUAUGGUGUUCCAAGUCACCGAUUUAUUUUAAAUCCCAAAUUGAGGAAGUUGACUCUUAUUAAAAUCUGCGAAACCAGAAGACCGGGUAAGGAAUUCUGUUAACCCGGGAGAAGGUGUGAGGCACUCCCGAGUUUCGUAGUUUUAGCACGGUCGCCCAACUAUUAAUAAUUGACCUAAUUAUCUAAUUAAUUACAUGUUUUAAACCUAUUGUACAUUUUUAACUUUCUAACCGUUUUUAAAUUAUUUAAAAUAAUUAUGGAAUUUGUUUGAACAAGUAGCGAUAUCGCGCACUCAUUUGUUUUUGUACACAUUGCGAAUUGCGUCACUGGAACCGUAUCCACGAUCUACAACAUAUUUAUUUUAUUAUUAUUCGAAGUUCUGGUCGAGUCACGUGAAACGCACGCUCGAAUUGGGAUUUAUGUAUCAUGACCAUGCCACGGGAACCGUACCCAUAGUCACGAUGAUUUAUUAUUAAUCGCGCCUAAAGCAAGCUACGAUGUUCAUUAAUUAUUUUCCUAAAAGAUAAUUUGAGAUUAUUAUGAGGCCAUGACUUGUGGAUAAGAAUUAUGGGAGAAAUGUAAAAAUACAACUAUUUGGUAUUAUUAACAAAUGAUCUACACUUAUAGAAUCAAAUACCGAAAGACGUCACAAAGAAUCCUCAGAAGAAAUAGCGGUCAACUUCUGAAUCUUUAAUUAUCAAACCUUUCUAAUCUCAUUAAAUUGUUUCCUCAUAACCUUCACAUACAAAAUCAAACCUUAUAAAAUCAUACCUUUUAAAUGAUUCCUUAAUAACUUUAAUAUGUAUAUUCUCUACAUCAACGCAAAUUAAAUGAUCAACUCAAGAUUACAUUUAUUUAAUUGACUCCAGUUGACUAACCAAUUGUUCCAUUUCGAAACAUAGAGAAUGCAAAUUGUUCCAUUUUUUAAUAACUUUAAUCUGUAUAUUCAAAAUUUCAAGAAUGCAAAUUCAUUCAAACCAAAAGCACUAAGGUAGAACACCAAAAAUUCUUGAAUUAAUUAAAGAAAUGAGAUAGAAAGGGACCUCAAACAGAGUUUCGCCUAUUAAUGAGAAUCUCCAACUUUACAAUUUCUGUUUGGAUGCAAAAUUGCUACGGAAAGCGACGAAGACCGAAACCUGAACCACGGACGCCUGACGGACCUCAAAUUGGAAAGAGGGAACAACGAUCUCAAACGGAAAAUCUCACCGGAAAACUCGAAUACCUCAUAAAUCGGGAGGUUGGGCAUGGGACGGAAAGAUAUCUUUUUCCAUUUGCGGCUGGUUCUGGGUUGAGCUAUGGAGUAUUGCGUGGGAGUGUUGUUGGUUUAAUUUGGAGAUGGAGAGAAAGAGAUGGUUGAAAUUUUUUAAGGGGAAGUGUGGGGGGUCGAGGUGAGAGCUUCAGCCAAAAAAAUAGGGAAAUGGCUGCUGCUUCUUCGAUGAAGAAGAAGGGGUCGUCUCUGGAUGCUGCCUAGGGGUGUUCAAGAGUGAAGAAGAGGAAGUUCAGGGGGUGUUUUUUGGGUUCAAAAUGAUAGAAAUGGCUGGGAGGGAUUUAUGGGCUAAGGGUCCGAAU
rnacentral:lncRNA from 1 species